rnacentral:rRNA from 1 species
AGCGAACGCUGGCGGCGUGCUUAACACAUGCAAGUCGAGCGAUGAAGCUCCUUCGGGAGUAGAUUAGCGGCGGACGGGUGAGUAACACGUGGGCAACCUGCCUUAUAGAGAGGAAUAGCCAUUCGAAAGGAUGAUUAAUACCUCAUAAUAUUGUAGCUUCGCAUGGAGCAACAAUCAAAGGAGCAAUCCACUAUAAGAUGGGCCCGCGGCGCAUUAGCUAGUUGGUGAGGUAACGGCUCACCAAGGCGACGAUGCGUAGCCGACCUGAGAGGGUGAUCGGCCACAUUGGGACUGAGACACGGCCCAGACUCCUACGGGAGGCAGCAGUGGGGAAUAUUGCACAAUGGGGGAAACCCUGAUGCAGCAACGCCGCGUGAGUGAUGACGGCCUUCGGGUUGUAAAGCUCUGUCUUCAGGGACGAUAAUGACGGUACCUGAGGAGGAAGCCACGGCUAACUACGUGCCAGCCGCCGCAGUAACAC